rfam:Ictidomys tridecemlineatus contig039468, whole genome shotgun sequence.
GGGGUUGUGGCUCAGUGGAAGAGCACUUGCUUAGAAUGUAUGAGGCACUGGGUUCGAUCCUCAGCACCA